rnacentral:hammerhead_ribozyme from 1 species
ACCCAGAAGACGAGUCUCAAAUCAGACGAAAUGUGCGUCCUGCAU